rnacentral:ncRNA from 2 species
GCGCCUCAUGAUCGCGCCGGUGCCCCGCAAGGGGCUUAAAAGGGAACGCGGUAAGGGACCCGUCCCGAAGCCGAGGCUGUCCCUGCAACUGUAAGCGGCGAGCGCGAUGCACAACGCCCCGAUCGAACGGGGCAGCCACUGGGUCGGGCACGCAUGCGUGAUCGUCCUGGGAAGGUCGUGCAUCGUGGCGUUGACCCGUGAGCCAGGAGACCUGCCGGCGUGGGUCGCUCUUG